rnacentral:tRNA from 2 species
GCGGUCAUGGCGGAAUGGCAGACGCGCUGUCUUGAGGGGGCAGUGGGGGUAUCCCCGUGGAAGUUCGAGUCUUCUUGGCCGCA